rnacentral:rRNA from 1 species
AGGGCACCACCUGGAGUGGGGCCUGCGGCUUAAUUUGACUCAGGAAAGGGAAACUCGCCCGGACCGGACACUGAUUGGAUUGACAGAAUGAUGGCUCUUUCUUGAUUCAUGGGGGGGUGGUGCAUGGCCGUUCUUAGGUGGUGGAGUGAUUGGUCUGGUUAAUUCCGAUAACAAACUCUACUCUAGCCUGCUAAAUAGUGGAUUUGGUUCUUUGGUUUUUGUUUGGUUGUCGGCCCCUCACGGGGUCGGCGCCUUACAAUUAACUAGACACCACCCAAACUACGACUUCUGUCAGGGACUGGCGGCGUUUCACCCUCAAGAAAUCAACCAGCUUUUUGUCUGUGAUGUCCUUAGAUGGGCAGGGCCGCACAACCGCUACACUGAAAAGCAUAGCGGGUUUCUCUUUCUGACCUGCCCCGAAGGGGGCGGGCAAUCCCACCGACUCUUUUCCGCAUUGGUAUCGGGGCUUGUCAUUGUUGCCCUUGAACGACGAAUCUACAGUAAGCACGAUUCAUCCAG